CAAAUUCACUCAAUUUCCCCAAUUUUCCUAUUUCCUCUGGAAGUUUUUUCAAACCCUCACAUACUGAUAUGUCCAGAUAUUCCAGCCACAAGAGAUUUCCAAUUGAGGAAGGAAGUUCUUUAAGGCCUGAUUCCAGAAGGCAAUACCUCCAGAUCACUGCAGUGAUCCAGAUUAAAAUCUUGCAGCUUGAUAUUGUUCAAUGUCCAGGUGAAGCCUACAUAAGAGGAAAACACACACCAAAAGGUUAGGAAUCAUUGGACAAGGAAGAUUUACCCAUCAAGGUUGCGAAUUCUUCUUUAGCUACGUGAAAUUGGAGUACAUACUUCACCCACUCAAUCAAGUGCAAUUGUUUGGGUCCAAAAGAAUAAUAUGAUUUGGUCUACAUAAGAAACUUAGUCUCUUUUCAUAUUAGAAACUCGAAUACAAUGAUUGUGUGACAAAGAAUUGGGAUAUAGCCCUGAUGUGUGCUUACUUAGAUGUUAUAGUUGCACAAAUUGCCCAACUCUCUAUAGAUGAGACAACUUUUGCACUUGACAUAGUGGGAGUGACAAUAAAAUUGAUUUUGUUUCAAAUGAUGUUGAACCAAAUGUUCAGAUUGAAUCUUCUGAUGAAGAAGAAUACAAAUAUGAAAUAUUGAUUGUAAUUUGAUCUUUCAUUGUUCAGUGACAUUUUGAGACUUUAGUAUAUUAUAAUUUUUGUAAUUA